rnacentral:antisense_RNA from 1 species
AAUAACCGAAAAUUAUGCCUGGGUUAAGAGUAGGGUUAGUAAUCGAGCGUACAUCUCCCAAAUUAGUGUCAUAAAUGCCGCCAAAAAACAUGGCUUUUAGCACUAGUAAGAAUGCUCCUAAACCCAGAAUAAUUAGGUGAUGUCCUAAAAUCAAACUCAAUUGUUUAGGGUCAUUCCA